rnacentral:rRNA from 1 species
AUACGGAGGACGCGAGCGUUAUCCGGAUUCAUUGGGUUUAAAGGGUGCGCAGGCGGCCGUGCAAGUCAGCGGUGAAAGCCCGGGGCUCAACCCCGGAAGUGCCGUUGAUACUGCGUGGCUGGAAUGCGGUCGAGGCGGGCGGAACGUGGCGGGGGGCGGUGGAAUGCGUAGAUAUGCCACAGAACGCCGAUAGCGGAGGCAGCUCGCCAGGCCUGCAUUGACGCUCGGGCACGAAAGCGUGGGGAUCGAACAGGAUUAGAUACCCUGGUAGUCCACGCCGUAAACGAUGGGCGCUCGUCGUCGGCGACAGACAGUCGGCGGCCAAGCGAAAGCGAUAAGCGCCCCACCUGGGGAGUACGGUCGCAAGGCUGAAACUCAAAUGAAUUGACGGGG